UAUUUCUAAUUUAAAUUUAUAUAGCUUCAACUUCCCUGCUUCUUGUCAUGCCUUUUUUUGCAGUUAAAGAGCUCAUUACACCUAGUAUUUUUCCACAUGAAACUACUGAUAAGCAGUUUGCAAGGAACUUCUUUAUCUUCUUUCCCUUUGCUAAAAUGGACUGAUUUCUUUCUAGGUGUGGCUAUGCUGCUUCCACUGUGCUCACAAGAUUGUUACCAAAAGAAUGUCCACACACCUACUCCUGCUACACAAACACACAACAUCUAGAAAUAAGGUGGUAAAGGUGCCCCAGAGUUGUUCUCAAGGAUGCUAGGCCCCCUCUAUGUGUGCUGGUAAAAGCUUGAUGGGAUCUAAUGUGUGAUCCACACAAUCGCAUGUCCUGCCAUGCCACAUAUGCAUGGCAAGAGGCAUGACUGUGGGAUUUCAUAUUAGAUCCUAUCACUCCUUAUUGCCAGUGCAGACGGAGCCUGAUCCAGGCUCUCUUUGCAUCAGCAAGAAGUAGGCUCCUGUGUCUAGGAGCCAUCUCAGUUGAAGCCAUCACAAUCUCCCAGGCUUGAGGGUAGGUCAAACCCCUGGGGCUGAGGGAUGGUGACAGCUGUGAUCUCCUAGGCUUGAGGGUUUCAUGCAUCCCGAGAUUGGGAGACGGUGGGAGCCAUGAUCCCCCAGAGACAGCUGCAUCCCUAGCCCCCCACUGUCAGGACCCAGCUGCAGCACCCAGUGUCCACAGCUGUGGGAUCCAUGUUGCCAGGACCCAGAGUCAGCAGCUGCUGGGGCUGAAAUUCAUGUCACCUCCAGGACUCCCAGACCUGGCUGGGCAGGGUGCACCCUUGCUGCUGGGUGCCCUGUCAGCUGAUAGGGCUCCCAGCUUCAGGAGAGACCCUAACACACAUGCCAAUUAAAGCUCUAUUGCAACCAGCUAUAACGUUAGUACACAUUUUUGAGGUCUAACUUUAUAAUUCGUUGGAGCUUUUUAAGGCAUGAUAGCUACUUGUGCAAUAUGUGUAAUUUGUAGAGGGGGCCCUACUAGAGAUGGAGGCUGUUCCAUUGGUAGGGCAGCUAGCAGCAAGCCCCCAGAUGGAUGGACAUUCCCUGCCAAGUCAGGGGCUUGCUGCUAGGUGCUCCACCAGCAGAUCAGGGCAGGGGCCUGGGACCUGUCCCUUCCCCACAGCUCUUUCCAAGCCUCAUGCCUUGAUCACCCAAUUGGGGGCAUGGGACUAGGAAAGAGCUGUGCGGCUGGGACCUACCCCAGACCAGGACAAUUCCUGGCCAGCCCCAGGCUGUGUGGGAAAGUCUUCAUGUGCAGUCUUAGCUGGCUGGGAACUGCCCCAUUUCAGGACUUGUCUGCACAGCCCAGGGAGAGGUUGAUGGGUCCACAACAGGUGGAAGGUGCUUGUCCAGAGGUGGCAGAGUGUCACAGGCCUAAAAAUAGCCCAGUCAUGGCUGGGAAAGAGAAUAGGCAAGGCCCUGCCCUGCAGCUAAGCCAUGGCUAACAUGUAUAGACAUUCACUAGAUGGGGUUAGAUGAUUCCCAAUCUCAUUUAGUUUACCUGCUUAGGUGAACAAAAUGAGAUUGGGCCAGCCAUUUUUGGCCUGAUCUAAUCUCCCCAAAUGUCUGCACUUAGAUCAGCACUUAGAUCAACCUAACUGUUGCACUUACCCUUUGAAAGUCAACAGAAGUAAAUUUUGAUUCAUCUCCAAUUUGUUUUCUAGAUGGAAACAUUCACAAAAGUUAAAUCUUAAACAUGUAACAGACUGCAAAUGCGGGCUUACCAGAUGGGUUUGAGAUACUUACCCUGGGCUAGAAACAGUGCCAGUGAACUCUGAGCAACCCCAAGGGUGGAGGAGGGGAGUCCUGCCUUGUGGAAGAGAAGCCAAUCUAGAGAAGGGGUUUUCAAUCCCCUCAUUUGCAUGGAAGGGGGAUGGCCGGACUUGGGGGCUAGCCACCCUGAGCCCUGGUUGGCCAGUUUGCAAGCCAGGGAGGGACUGCUGGAGGGGAUAAAAGCAGCAGCUGAACUGGCGUGGUGGGGGGCUGUUGACAGUGACUCCAGGGAAUGACGCAGGAGGCCUAAGAAGAGCUGGGGUGAGCUGACCCAGCAGAGGGAGCAGACAGACCCCUCUGAAGAGCCUCAAAGGCCCUGGGAGAAGAAGGCAACAGCAGGCGGUCGUGCCUCCAGCCCUGCAGCAGAAAGGGAGCUGCGGCCAGGGUUUGGGGCAGAGAGGUGGUGCCCCAAGGCCCCAUCACAGUGUGCUGGACAUGCCGGGAGUCCCUCCACUCCACUGCCGAGAUGAAGCAGCGGCCAGGAGCACAGGCGGUAUCCUUAUCCGGAGCAGGGAGCUGGACCGCAGAUGCUGAUACUGAAGAGGCACUGAACAGAUACUGAAGAGGCAGAUCUGAAAUUUUUUUGGGACUAACAUGCUUUGACUCUAGUUGCAAUGAAAAGAAAAGGAAAGGAAAGGAAAGAAAGAAAGAACAAGAUGCUAAUGGAAAGUUAUUUUACUUAUCUUUGUAUUCUAAUCACCAUGACACAGUUAUCCAACUUUUAACCUGAACUCUCUUUCCAUCUCCAGGUAGAAAGAAUAUUAUCUUUUCAACAUAAAAAUCUAAUACUCAUCUGGAUUCUGUAUAAUAUAACGAAUUUGCACGCUACUCAUCUCUAUGCAUCACAAUUUUCCUUAAAAAAGUGCAACUGUUCCCUAAAGCAAAGAUUUAAUGGCCAUGUGCUAUAGUGAAGUCUCAUAAGUAAGACUCCAUAAUAUUUGCAAAAUGUACUGCAAAACAUUAACUGGCAGACUAUGACUGAUAAUACAUUAUUGAAACUUAAUUACCUUUGAAAUAUUUUGCAGUAUUUUGAUCUAGUGACUUUUUCAUGCACUAACAAGAAUUGUAUAUCACCAAGGGUUAUGCUGAGGUGUUUUAUGUAAUUUCAGAAAACAACAAUAAAUAAAUGAAGAAAUAUA